ensembl:lncRNA
GGCCUCCGGCCGCAGGAAACGGAGGCGGCGGUGGGUACCCGCGGCCCCGCGCAGUGCCGCGCCUCCUCCGCCCUGCCCGCGGCCAGAGAGCGGCUGCCGGCGCACCCCGCCCCGGGACCGCGGCGGCGCCACGCGGUGAUUGGGGCGGCCUCCUGUGGGGAAUGGCGGCUUCCGGCCUCGCUCCGCUCGCAGGUCACGUAACGGCGGUGGUGCGGGCGGUAACGCGCCCCCGGAGCCGCGCCAGGCCUCGGCCGCGGAGACCUUCUCUGGUGGGAAGGAGACGCGGCCCGGCCUCCUGCCCUGCUCCUCAUGGCUGUGCGGCCCUGCAGGACCCGCCACCGUGUGCCUCGGGCGUGGAACGAGCAGGGCGCAGGCCCGUGAGUCCCUUUGUUCCCGGCUCCAGGACUGGGUGAGGAGCGACACUGGACACGCUGAAGGAUUAUGAUAAUCCUGUUCUUCCUUCAGUGUCCCGUACCAUGGCAGGUGAUGACCACUGAGCCAUGUUCUGCUGAGCCGGCUGCUCCACACUCACCCUUCAGGCCUGCGUUCUCCAGCAGAUUCAUCAAGCUGGUAAUGUAAUGACAGAGCUGUUUGGUGCCUGUAGUCCCACUCCCAAGUGUGUCCAAGCACCUCACAUUUGGCUCAGGAAAUGUGUCCUUGCAGCAGUCCAGCAAGAGAGUUGUGAAGUCCCAGUGGAGGUGAAAGCUGUUGGUGGGGCAUGGUGGGACUGCUUACAGCAGAACAUGUGCUUUCAUCAGAAUUGUUGGGUUCACUUCUCAAGGCUUAUUGGGAGGUUCAGACAUCCUCCUAGCUCUGCUCUGAUACUUGUGUAUCUUACUAUUUCAGAUACCUACUCGAAGAGUGCGGCACUUGGUUUUGGGCAAAUAAAGGUAAAACAUGUUCCAGUGGGUGGAAGUUGGACCCUGAAUCAAGGCAUACAUUUUUAAGCAAGGAGUGAAGCUUUUUCACCACUGCAGUCCCUGGCAGAGGAGCUGUGCGCUUCAUCUGCUGUUCUCUGAUACAGUCUUGCCACUGUCAGCAGGGCUCACAGGGCCACCUCCUGCCCUCUGCGCUGGUGGUUGUUGCUGGCGGAGUCACCCGUUUCUGGUGGACACUAGCUGUUGUGACUGAAAGCCAGUGCAGCUGCAGGCUGUGGCCUUAGAGGGGGUCUGGCACACUGACCAGGACAACCCUGUGUGCCCUGGAAAUCUCUGAAUUCUGGUAGACUAAGAAAUGACCCUGUACUUGCCUAGCUCAGGAUCACCAGACCGGUCUUCUUUUGAGGCUUGUGAAACACAUACCCCAGAGAAGGCAGUAAUGAUCACCAUGUAAUGCAUGUUCAGCUCCUGGUUUUAUGGUUUCUGCAAAGCCUGUUUUGGGGACAUGUUUUUAAGCUAUUUGGGGAAGAACAGAUGAGCUUUUGGCACACAGUUCUACAUCAAAUCUCAGUUGCCAGGCUGAGUUUAUUGGUAGAGACCUUGUAUAUUGCACAGGCUGCUGCCUGUGCCCGACCAUCCUCUAGAAUGGAAACUUGAACCAAUGAUUUUCAUAAUGAAUGUGCAAUAAAUCUGUGAAAA